GUUCCACGCUACUGUAAGUCACUUUGGAUAAAAGCAUCUGCUAAAUGGCAUUGC
rfam:Salmo salar isolate Sally breed double haploid chromosome ssa14, whole genome shotgun sequence.